GUAGGUGAAGUGAUUUACUCAUGGAGCUGAAGUCAGUCGAAGAUACCAGCUGGCUGCAACUGUUUAUUAAAAACACAGCACUGUGCAAACACGAAAGUGGACGUAUACGGUGUGACGCCUGCCCGGUGCCGGAAGGUUAAUUGAUGGGGUCAGCGCAAGCGAAGCUCCUGAUCGAAGCCCCGGUAAACGGCGGCCGUAACUAUAACGGUCCUAAGGUAGCGAAAUUCCUUGUCGGGUAAGUUCCGACCUGCACGAAUGGCGUAAUGAUGGCCAGGCUGUCUCCACCCGAGACUCAGUGAAAUUGAACUCGCUGUGAAGAUGCAGUGUACCCGCGGCAAGACGGAAAGACCCCGUGAACCUUUACUAUAGCUUGACACUGAACAUUGAGCCUUGAUGUGUAGGAUAGGUGGGAGGCUUUGAAGUGUGGACGCCAGUCUGCAUGGAGCCGACCUUGAAAUACCACCCUUUAAUGUUUGAUGUUCUAACGUGGACCCGUAAUCCGGGUUGCGGACAGUGUCUGGUGGGUAGUUUGACUGGGGCGGUCUCCUCCUAAAGAGUAACGGAGGAGCACGAAGGUUGGCUAAUCCUGGUCGGACAUCAGGAGGUUAGUGCAAUGGCAUAAGCCAGCUUGACUGCGAGCGUGACGGCGCGAGCAGGUGCGAAAGCAGGUCAUAGUGAUCCGGUGGUUCUGAAUGGAAGGGCCAUCGCUCAACGGAUAAAAGGUACUCCGGGGAUAACAGGCUGAUACCGCCCAAGAGUUCAUAUCGACGGCGGUGUUUGGCACCUCGAUGUCGGCUCAUCACAUCCUGGGGCUGAAGUAGGUCCCAAGGGUAUGGCUGUUCGCCAUUUAAAGUGGUACGCGAGCUGGGUUUAGAACGUCGUGAGACAGUUCGGUCCCUAUCUGCCGUGGGCGCUGGAGAACUGAGGGGGGCUGCUCCUAGUACGAGAGGACCGGAGUGGACGCAUCACUGGUGUUCGGGUUGUCAUGCCAAUGGCACUGCCCGGUAGCUAAAUGCGGAAGAGAUAAGUGCUGAAAGCAUCUAAGCACGAAACUUGCCCCGAGAUGAGUUCUCCCUGAGACUUUAAGUCUCCUGAAGGAACGUUGAAGACGACGACGUUGAUAGGCCGGGUGUGUAAGCGCAGCGAUGCGUUGAGCUAACCGGUACUAAUGAACCGUGAGGCUUAACCUUACAACGCCGAAG
rnacentral:rRNA from 2 species